rnacentral:rRNA from 1 species
GACGAACGCUGGCGGCGUGCUUAACACAUGCAAGUCGAACGGAAAGGCCCUGCUUGCAGGGUACUCGAGUGGCGAACGGGUGAGUAACACGUGGGUGAUCUGCCCUGCACUUCGGGAUAAGCCUGGGAAACUGGGUCUAAUACCGGAUAGGAGCCAUUUUUAGUGUGAUGGUUGGAAAGUUUUUUCGGUGUAGGAUGAGCUCGCGGCCUAUCAGCUUGUUGGUGGGGUAAUGGCCUACCAAGGCGGCGACGGGUAGCCGGCCUGAGAGGGUGGACGGCCAAAUUGGGAAUGGGAAACGGCCCAGACCCCUAGGGGAGGAAGGGGGGGGGAAUAUUGAAAAAGGGGGGAAAGCCUGAGGGGGGGAGGCGGGGGGGGGGAUGAGGGCCUUGGGGUUGAAACCUCCUUGCGCUAGGGACGAAGCUUUUGGGGAGGGUACCAAGAAAAGAAACACCGGCUAACUAGGU